rnacentral:rRNA from 1 species
UACGAAGGGUGCAAGCGUUAAUCGGAAUUACUGGGCGUAAAGCGCGCGUAGGUGGUUCGUUAAGUUAGGAGUGAAAGCCCCGGGCUCAACCUGGGAAUUGCUUCUAAAACUGGCGAGCUAGAGUAUGGUAGAGGGUGGUGGAAUUUCCUGUGUAGCGGUGAAAUGCGUAGAUAUAGGAAGGAACAUCAGUGGCGAAGGCGACCACCUGGACUGAUGCUGACACUGAGGUGCGAAAGCGUGGGGAGCAAACAGGAUUAGAUACCCCGGUAGUCCCU